CCCUUAGAUGUUCUGGGCCGCACGCGCGCUACACUGAUGCAUUCAACGAGUCCAACCUUGACCGAGAGGUCCGGGUAAUCUUUGAAACUGCAUCGUGAUGGAGCUAGAUUAUUGCAAUUAUUAAUCUUCAACGAGGAAUGCCUAGUAAGCGUGAUUCAUCAAAUCGCGUUGAUUACGUCCCCGCCCUUUGUACACACCGCCCGUCGCUCCUACCGAUUGAGUGUGUUGGUGAGGAGUUUGGAUUGGCCUCGGAAGGUGGUUCGCCACCGUCCGUAGCUGAGAAGUUCUCCAAACCGCCCCACUUAGAGGAAGGAGAAGUCGUAACA
rnacentral:rRNA from 1 species